GUGCAAUGGAUUUGGAGGACUCUUGCCGUAUCGAGCGAAUUUAUAUUACAUCUUUGUUGCCAAAAGAUUUAAAGAACGUUUCCUAUGCAGAUGUUCACCGUAGUUUGGUAUAUGGGUUUGAGCUUUCAUGGUUUUGGGGUUGCUGCCGGAAUUACACAGAAAACGGCUGCAAGCUAGAUGCUGCUACCAUCAUCGACCAUUGCAAUCCAGGAUUCGGGAUCAUUCAAUUUCCUCAGCUGCGUUCCCUCCUUCUCAAGCUAGAAAAAACUGUCCUCGGU
rnacentral:misc_RNA from 1 species